UACGAAGGGGGCUAGCGUUGCUCUGAAUCACUGGGCGUAAAGCGCACGUAGGCGGCUUUUUAAGUCAGGGGUGAAAUCCUGGAGCUCAACUCCAGAACUGCCUUUGAUACUGAGAAGCUUGAGUCCGGGAGAGGUGAGUGGAACUGCGAGUGUAGAGGUGAAAUUCGUAGAUAUUCGCAAGAACACCAGUGGCGAAGGCGGCUCACUGGCCCGGUACUGACGCUGAGGUGCGAAAGCGUGGGGAGCAAACAGG
rnacentral:rRNA from 1 species